AGCCCAGUGGUCCGAUGGCAAGGCGCUCGUCGUGGAGCCAGGGGGUCUUGGGUUCGAUCCCCAACGGGGUCG
rnacentral:tRNA from 1 species